rnacentral:rRNA from 1 species
GAUGAACGCUGACAGAAUGCUUAACACAUGCAAGUCAACUUGAACUUCGGUUUGGGUGGCGGACGGGUGAGUAACGCGUAAAGAACUUGCCUCACAGAUAGGGACAACAUUUGGAAACGAAUGCUAAUACCUGAUAUUAUGAUUAUAUGGCAUCGUAUAAUUAUGAAAGCUAUAUGCGCUGUGAGAGAGCUUUGCGUCCAUUAGCUAGUUGGAGAGGUAACGGCUCACCAAGGCGAUGAUGGGUAGCCGGCCUGAGAGGGUGAUCGGCCACAAGGGGACUGAGACACGGCCCUUACUCCUACGGGAGGCAGCAGUGGGGAAUAUUGGACAAUGGACCAAGAGUCUGAUCCAGCAAUUCUGUGUGCACGAUGAAGUUUUUCGGAAUGUAAAGUGCUUUCAGUUGGGAAGAAAAAAAUGACGGUACCAACAGAAGAAGUGACGGCUAAAUACGUG